rnacentral:lncRNA from 1 species
AGACUGGCUGCCCCCGAGGGUUCGCGUGAGCGGAGCACGGGGCUCGGGGUGCGGGGGGCUGGUGUGAUGGACGCAUUUGUUCUUCGGUCCCUGACGAUUGUUUCUCAUUUGCCCUCCAAGCCCCAAAUCCUGUCAGUCCACGGCCUUGAUGGAGCGGCCCCCGUGGGACGACCCUGUUGAUUGUGCUAGCGGAUGUUGUCUCCAUUCUGGAUCUGGGAAAAACUGUGGAGUGAAAGCCGGACCUGUUAGGGUUGGGACCUGAAAGCGGACUUUUUCGCUCUCAGACGGGCCCCAGGUACAGUGAGAGGGGAGUUUGUGUGGUGGUUGUGAGCUUGAGCUUUGGAGAGAGAGAUCUGUGACCUUGGGCAGGUGACCUCUCCGAGCCUCGGUUUCCUCGCCGUAAAAUGAAGAUCCUAAUAGUCCCUACCAGAAGGUUGUGAAUGAGACAAUAGAUGGAAGCCCUUUGCGCGGCCCCUGCACCCGUAAACGCUCAAUCUUAGUUCUUACUCUUGUUGUUUUAAGUGUGCAGGCAAGAUAGACACAGAUACAUAAAAACUGUUUAAGACCACUUCUCUUUUUUUUCUUUCUUUCUUUUUUUUUUUUUUUUUUUUUUUUUGAGACGGAGUCUCGAUCUGUCGCCCAGGCUGGAGUGCAGUGGCGCGAACUAGGCUCACCGCAAGCUCCGCCUCCCGGCUUCACGCUAUUCUCCUGCCUCAGCCUCCCGAGUAGCUGGGACUACAGGCGCCCGCCACCACGCCCCGCUAAUUUUUUUGUAUUUUUAGUAGAGACGGGGUUUCACCGUGUUAGCCAGGAUGGUCUCGAUCUCCUGACCUCGUGAUCCGCCCGCCUCGGCCUCCCAAAGUACUGGCGUGAGCCACCGCGCCGGGCCCCCACUUCUCAACUGAUGACUGCGACACUCCCUUGAGGACGGGAGCUCUUUCAGGCCAGUGGUUUGUUGUUCAUCAAGAUAUCCAAGUACCCGGCAACAUUCCUGGCAUAUAAUAGGAAGGCAGAUCUGGUGAAUGAAUGAAUGAAUGGCGGUAUCUGGAGCAGAGACAAUGAAUUUCAUGUUUAACAGAGGUGUCUUCAAGGAGAUGAAACAAUUCAGAAUGACCUAGGCAAUGGGGUAAUUCCUAAGGUAAGUUACUAUAAAUGUGUAGUAGUUUGCUUCAUCAAAAUGACCAUGUGAUCUCUAAGAACCUUUGCAGUUGUAAAAUUCGAUUUUUAUUGUGCCCCUAAUUUUAGUGGCAUUAUAUGGUGAUUGUGUUCAUUUUUCUGACAUA